AACGAUGGAUACUAGCUGUUGGGCGCAAGUUCAGUGGCUAAGCGAAAGUGAUAAGUAUCCCACCUGGGGAGUACGUUCGCAAGAAUGAGACUCAAAGGAAUUGACGGGGGCCCGCACAAGCGGUGGAGCAUGUGGUUUAAUUCGAUGAUACGCGAGGAACCUUACCAAGGCUUAAAUGUAGAUUGACCGGUUUGGAAACAGACUUUUCGCAAGACAAUUUACAAGGUGCUGCAUGGUUGUCGUCAGCUCGUGCCGUGAGGUGUCAGGUUAAGUCCUAUAACGAGCGCAACCCCUGUUGUUAGUUGCCAGCGAGUCAAGUCGGGAACUCUAACAAGACUGCCAGUGCAAACUGUGAGGAAGGUGGGGAUGACGUCAAAUCAUCACGGCCCUUACGCCUUGGGCUACACACGUGCUACAAUGGACGGUACAGAGAGCAGCCACUACGUGAGUAGGAGCGAAUCUAUAAAACCGUUCUCAGUUCGGAUCGGAGUCUGCAACUCGACUCCGUGAAACUGGAAUCGCUAGUAAUCGGAUAUCAGCCAUGAUCCGGUGAAUACGUUCCCGGGCCUUGUACACACCGCCCGUCAAGCCAUGGAAGCUGGGGGUGCCUGAAGUCG
rnacentral:rRNA from 1 species